GUGCCAGCAGCCGCGGUAAUACCGGCAGCCCAAGUGAUGUCCCAUAUUAUUGGGCCUAAAGCGUCCGUAGCUGGCUGACCAAGUCCCCCGGGAAAUCCCCCCGCCCAACGGGUGGGCGUCCGGCGGAAACUGGACGGCUUGGAACCGGAAGGCUCAGAGAGUACGUCCGGGGUAGGAGUGAAAUCCCGUAAUCCCGGACGGACUACCGAUGGCGAAAGCACUCUGAGAAGACGGCUUCGACAGUGAGGGACGAAAGCUCGGGUCUCAAACCGGAUUAGAAACCCUUGUAGUCC
rnacentral:rRNA from 1 species